rnacentral:rRNA from 1 species
CCGCAGCCCGAGUGGUGAUCGGUUUUAUUGGGCCUAAAGCGUCCGUAGCCUGCUCAGUAAAUCCUUGGGUAAAUCGGGCAGCUUAACUGUCCGACUUCUGGGGAGACUGCUGAGCUUGGAACCGGGAGAGGUCGGAGGUACUCCGGGGGUAGAGGUGAAAUUUUGUAAUCCUUGGGGGACCACCAGUGGCGAAGGCGUCCGACUUGAACGGGUUCGACGGUGAGGGACGAAGCCCUGGGGCACAAACCGGAUUAGAUACCCGAGUAGUCC